rnacentral:rRNA from 1 species
UCAUAACCGUGCGAAGGUAGCAUAAUAAAUUGUUCUCUAAAUAGGGACUAGUAUGAAAGGCACCACGAGGGCUUAACUGUCUCCCUUUUCCAAUUAAUGAAACUGAUCUUCUCGUGAAGAAGCGAGAAUAAAAAUAUAAGACGAGAAGACCCCAUGGAGCUUUAAACUCAUCAUCAUUUACUCUUUAUUACAUCAUUACAUGCAGUAAAAUUGUUACCUGAGAGUUUUCGGCUGGGGUGACCCUGGAGCAAAACAAAUCCUCCAGGAUGAACGGAAUAANAAUCCUAAUCAAAGAGCUACAGCUCUAAGAAUCAAAAUAUUGACAUAAUUUGAUCCAAUUACUUGAUCAACGAACCAAGUUACCCUGGGGAUAACAGCGCAAUCCAUUUCAAGAGCCCCUAUCGACAAAUGGGUUUACGACCUCGAUGUUGGAUCGGGGUAUCCCGGUGGCGCAGCCGCUACUAAAGGUUCGUUUGUUCAACGAUUAAUAACCCCACGUGAUCUG